rnacentral:rRNA from 1 species
AUGGAAGCGCUCGCUGUCGCUGGUGGCAAGCCGCUGUCGGGGGCGCGGGCGCGGCGGAUCGCCAGGAGCCGGGAGGAGAUGCUGGGCCUCCUUGCUGACUUCGACGGCGGCGACGGCUCCGACCGCGAGCUCUCCUUCUCCGACCUCGUCGACGCCGUCAGGCCGCCGCCCAACGCCGGCCACGCCUCGGUGUCGCUGCCGGCACCAGUCGGGGUCGAAGCAGAGGCGGCCGAGCAGAGGCGGGAGGAUGCCCCGCCGUCCAAGAAGCAGCAGCAGGCGGCGGGGAAGGAGAAGAGGAGGCUGCGGAGGCGGCCGAGCGACAACAGGGGCAGCUGCGGAGGAGGCGCGGACGGCAACGGCGUGCUGCUCAACUUCUACGUUCCGGGGCUGCUCACCCGGAGCAUGACGGCGCCGCGCCCCGGCCCCGGCCGGGGGCUGAUGCCGGCCGCGGGGACCCGGCAGAGCGCGCCGCCGACGGUUGCUGCCGGCAAAACCAGGAUGCAGGCGUCGCUGGACAUCGGCUGCUGGCCGGCGCUGUGGGGCAGAGGCCGCGACCACCACCGUAACAAGCCAGUCUGA